rnacentral:rRNA from 1 species
CUACGGGCGGCUCCAGUGAGGAAUAUUGCACAAUGGGGGGAACCCUGAUGCAGCAACGCCGCGUGGAGGAUGACGCAUUUCGGUGUGUAAACUCCUUUUAUAUGUCAAGAAAAUAACGGUAGCAUAUGAAUAAGCACCGGCUAACUCCGUGCCAGGCAGCCGCGGUAAUACGGAGGGUGCAAGCGUUACUCGGAAUCACUGGGCGUAAAGGACGCGUAAGCGGGUUGGAAAGUCAGGUGUGAAAUCCUACAGCUUAACUGUAGAACUGCACUUGAAACUUCUAAUCUAGAGUAUGGGAGGGGGAGAUGGAAUUAGUGGUGUAGGGGUAAAAUCCGUAGAUAUCACUAGGAAUACCUAAAGCGAAGGCGAUCUCCUGGAACAUUACUGACGCUAAGGCGUGAAAGCGUGGGGAGCAAACAGGAUUAGAUACCCGCGUAGUC